rnacentral:rRNA from 1 species
GACAUUGGGUCUUGGUACUACAUGUACAGGAUAGGUGGGAGGCUUUGAAACCAGGACGCCAGUUUUGGCGGAGCCAUCCUUGGGAUACCACCCUUGUAGUACUGGGACUCUAACCAUAGGCCAUGAAGCUGGUCUUGGGACACUGUCAGGUGGGCAGUUUGACUGGGGCGGUCGCCUCCCAAAAGGUAACGGAGGCGCUCAAAGGUUC